AGGAAGUAAUGUUUUCAUUUUGGAAACGCUUCAAGUUACGUCCCAUAAAUAUAAAUGCUUCGAAUAAAGUGGGAUGAAGUGAGUAUUAUUUUUCGUUUAUGCAUGCUAUCGCAAUAAAAUUUGCAUCUUUUAGUUUAAUUUGUUUUCAAUACCAUCAUACUAAUUUCAUAAUUAAAUUCAAUUUAUCUCAUGUGGUUUGCGAGUUAGUGUAUUGGAACAUAAUUUACUCAAUGCUCAUCGAAAUUAAUGGUUGUGAGUUCACAUGAAUGAAUAUGGCAAAUUGCUGGGGGAAAAAUUACUCAUAUUUGAUCAAAAUUUUGGUCUGUCCCACUAUUUUAUAAAUCAACCGGCAAAUUAUGAAGUUUGAUAUUAUUUAAGAUGAUUUUGUACAAAAAAUAGUUUUUUCUUUAAAAAUAAAAUAAAUAGAGCUAUAGAUAAACUUUGAUGUCGAUUACAUGUGCACUAUUAUUUUGAGUUUUGAAUGCUUAUAUAGGUUAGACAAUUAUGUUACUUUUGAGUUUUGUAGAUAAUCGGACCUCUUUUGAUAGGAUAUGCUGAUACUGUUUUGUAGAUAGGUAUACUGAUACUGUUUUGUAGAUAAUCGGACCUCUUUUUACACUUUAUGUGUUCCUGCUGUGAUGCGAUUAGUUUAGAGAGAUAAGAAGAAGAAGCAGUCCUUGGAAAGCCACCGCGGAGAGAGCAUUUUCAUUGUGCGCUUUGCUCUGUUCUCAUUUUCCGAAACGACGGAUUGCAGGGUACGUCGAGUGAAGCUUUGAUAUGGCUGGUGUACGGUAUGCACCAGAAGACCCUUCACUUCCAAAGCCAUGGAAAGGACUGGUUGAUGGUAAUACUGGAAAUCUUUACUUCUGGAACCCUGUAACCAACGCUACACAGUAUGAGAAACCUGUUGCCUCCCCUGUUGUGAGUUCGGUAGUUGCUAGUGAUGCUUUGGGUUCAUCUGCUCAAAAGGACUCACAGUGCCGUGAUGAAGGCGGAAACAACAACGCUGGCUAAGUGAAGCCUGCUUCUGAUCCAGAAGCUGAUCAGUCUGCCAGAGACAGACCAGAUCAUACGCCGAGUGAUCAGAAUGUGGCAAAAAGUGAGGUGCAUAAACCCAUUGAAUCUAAAGGUGCAGAAACUGGGUUAUCUGUAGAGGCAUAUCGCCGUCGUCAUGAAAUUACUGUAACUGGAGGAAAUGUGCCCCCACCAUUCAUCUCAUUUCAAUCCACUGGUUUUCCCUCGGAGAUUUUAAGGGAGGCACAACAAGCUGGUUUCUCUGCUCCAACUCCAAUCCAGGCGCAAUCAUGGCCAAUUGCUAACCAAGGUCGUGAUAUAGUAGCCAUUGCCAAGACAGGAUCUGGGAAGACUUUGGGUUACUUAAUUCCUGGAUUUAUUCAUCUGAAAGAAAAGCGCAAUAAUCCUAAAAUGGGUCCAACUAUUUUGGUGCUAUCGCCAACAAGAGAGUUGGCAACGCAGAUACAAGACGAAGCAGUGAAGUUUGGGAAAUCAUCUAGGAUAUCUUGCACGAAUUAGGAAGGAUGAGGAGGUAAUCGGGCUCGUUCACUAGUCACAAGGUGGAGAUUUGUUAAUGCAUGGUGGUGUGAGCUUGUUGAACAAGGGACAAAAGGCUCAAGGACUUGCAUGGGAAUUAGCUACGUAAAGAGUUAGUUAUUUCGGUUGAGAGGUGGAUGCUUCGAGAAGGCUGAGUCAUCUACCGUGAAGCUGAUAUAUAAUUGGAUCCUAUCUCUUGUAGUUAGUUAGUUAGUUACAUCAACACACUUUCUUGGUGAGAUCUAUUCCAAUCUGUGAGAGUUGCGAAGAGUGAUCUGUAAACUCAAUCAAGAGUAAAGUGAUUUGAGUGUUAUUGGAGUGUGUGUAACAAUUGUAAUCUUCAUUCUUGUCGAUCUAGUAAAUACAGCAGAUUAUCUCCUCCGUGGACGUAGGUCAU